CCAAAAGCAGGAGGGCGACUACGACCCAUCCUCACCUGGCUCCUGUCUGGCUUAGUACCGCGCGCGCGGGGCCCAGCGCCUCUCGCAUCCUCUCUUUCACUCUAUGCUCUGUGCAACAUGACGGAUUGCCUCCAUCUGGUUCCGUGGGCGAAAUUCGUCGACGCUGCUAGGGGUGGAAUACAAAGUCAAGAGCUGGGUUAGAUAACGCCAGGAAUCGUGGCAUCUCCCCCCGUAGAUUGCCACUUCGGAAUCCUGGAUAUCGGAGAAUUAUUACACAGUUUAGAACGCGGAUCGAAACGAUCAAAAGACGUGGGGAUGGUUCCAGGUUGCGGGUGCGACGAGCUCCAAGGGGAAGGGUGGUGCUGUGUGGCGCUGGGACUGGCAAGGGUAUUUUGUUUCCGGGGUGCUAGCUCUGAUCACUUGUGGGGAGCGCCGAGAGUUAAUCUCCAGGCUGGUGAGAGGUUGGGCGCGUAGCGUAGCAGUCGAAGUGUCAAACCCCGCCAUCCAUGUCGGUGUGGGGUUGCUGCUGCUGCACCGUCGUCGACUGCGCAGGUAUUAGCUUUGUAAAUAUGAUCUCAAAGAUCAUGGAUCCAUGUUGGUUAUUUGACUAUGUAAAUAUAUGAUUGAUUUUUGUACUUUGGAAUUGUUAUAUAAUAUAGAAGAUAAAUAGCAUGAUAAGAAGUUUGACGAGAAUGUAGUAGAACAAGAUUAUGAAGACUAUUUAGUAAGUACUUUGAAAAAUUCAAUUGUUGUAAAUUAUGAUUGAAGUCCUAACUCAUUGUAAAUAACUUAUAACAUUGCAAAUUAGAUUUUGGUUGUAUUUAUUAGAAUUUGUAGUAAUAAAAAAUAAAGACAUAAAGUAAAGCUAA